rnacentral:rRNA from 1 species
UUAAGCGACUAAGCGUACACGGUGGAUGCCCUGGCAGUCAGAGGCGAUGAAGGACGUGCUAAUCUGCGAUAAGCGUCGGUAAGGUGAUAUGAACCGUUAUAACCGGCGAUUUCCGAAUGGGGAAACCCAGUGUGAUUCGUCACACUAUCAUUAACUGAAUCCAUAGGUUAAUGAGGCGAACCGGGGGAACUGAAACAUCUAAGUACCCCGAGGAAAAGAAAUCAACCGAGAUUCCCCCAGUAGCGGCGAGCGAACGGGGAGCAGCCCAGAGCCUGAAUCAGUGUGUGUGUUAGUGGAAGCGUCUGGAAAGGCGCGCGAUACAGGGUGACAGCCCCGUACACAAAAAUGCACAUGCUGUGAGCUCGAUGAGUAGGGCGGGACACGUGGUAUCCUGUCUGAAUAUGGGGGGACCAUCCUCCAAGGCUAAAUACUCCUGACUGACCGAUAGUGAACCAGUACCGUGAGGGAAAGGCGAAAAGAACCCCGGCGAGGGGAGUGAAAAAGAACCUGAAACCGUGUACGUACAAGCAGUGGGAGCACGCUUAGGCGUGUGACUGCGUACCUUUUGUAUAAUGGGUCAGCGACUUAUAUUCUGUAGCAAGGUUAACCGAAUAGGGGAGCCGAAGGGAAACCGAGUCUUAACUGGGCGUUAAGUUGCAGGGUAUAGACCCGAAACCCGGUGAUCUAGCCAUGGGCAGGUUGAAGGUUGGGUAACACUAACUGGAGGACCGAACCGACUAAUGUUGAAAAAUUAGCGGAUGACUUGUGGCUGGGGGUGAAAGGCCAAUCAAACCGGGAGAUAGCUGGUUCUCCCCGAAAGCUAUUUAGGUAGCGCCUCGUGAAUUCAUCUCCGGGGGUAGAGCACUGUUUCGGCAAGGGGGUCAUCCCGACUUACCAACCCGAUGCAAACUGCGAAUACCGGAGAAUGUUAUCACGGGAGACACACGGCGGGUGCUAACGUCCGUCGUGAAGAGGGAAACAACCCAGACCGCCAGCUAAGGUCCCAAAGUCAUGGUUAAGUGGGAAACGAUGUGGGAAGGCCCAGACAGCCAGGAUGUUGGCUUAGAAGCAGCCAUCAUUUAAAGAAAGCGUAAUAGCUCACUGGUCGAGUCGGCCUGCGCGGAAGAUGUAACGGGGCUAAACCAUGCACCGAAGCUGCGGCAGCGACGCUGAUGCGUUGUUGGGUAGGGGAGCGUUCUGUAAGCCUGUGAAGGUGUGCUGUGAGGCAUGCUGGAGGUAUCAGAAGUGCGAAUGCUGACAUAAGUAACGAUAAAGCGGGUGAAAAGCCCGCUCGCCGGAAGACCAAGGGUUCCUGUCCAACGUUAAUCGGGGCAGGGUGAGUCGACCCCUAAGGCGAGGCCGAAAGGCGUAGUCGAUGGGAAACAGGUUAAUAUUCCUGUACUUGGUGUUACUGCGAAGGGGGGACGGAGAAGGCUAUGUUGGCCGGGCGACGGUUGUCCCGGUUUAAGCGUGUAGGCUGGUUUUCCAGGCAAAUCCGGAAAAUCAAGGCUGAGGCGUGAUGACGAGGCACUACGGUGCUGAAGCAACAAAUGCCCUGCUUCCAGGAAAAGCCUCUAAGCAUCAGGUAACAUCAAAUCGUACCCCAAACCGACACAGGUGGUCAGGUAGAGAAUACCAAGGCGCUUGAGAGAACUCGGGUGAAGGAACUAGGCAAAAUGGUGCCGUAACUUCGGGAGAAGGCACGCUGAUAUGUAGGUGAAGCGACUUGCUCGUGGAGCUGAAAUCAGUCGAAGAUACCAGCUGGCUGCAACUGUUUAUUAAAAACACAGCACUGUGCAAACACGAAAGUGGACGUAUACGGUGUGACGCCUGCCCGGUGCCGGAAGGUUAAUUGAUGGGGUCAGCGCAAGCGAAGCUCUUGAUCGAAGCCCCGGUAAACGGCGGCCGUAACUAUAACGGUCCUAAGGUAGCGAAAUUCCUUGUCGGGUAAGUUCCGACCUGCACGAAUGGCGUAAUGAUGGCCAGGCUGUCUCCACCCGAGACUCAGUGAAAUUGAACUCGCUGUGAAGAUGCAGUGUACCCGCGGCAAGACGGAAAGACCCCGUGAACCUUUACUAUAGCUUGACACUGAACAUUGAGCCUUGAUGUGUAGGAUAGGUGGGAGGCUUAGAAGUGUGGACGCCAGUCUGCAUGGAGCCGACCUUGAAAUACCACCCUUUAAUGUUUGAUGUUCUAACGUUGACCCGUAAUCCGGGUUGCGGACAGUGUCUGGUGGGUAGUUUGACUGGGGCGGUCUCCUCCUAAAGAGUAACGGAGGAGCACGAAGGUUGGCUAAUCCUGGUCGGACAUCAGGAGGUUAGUGCAAUGGCAUAAGCCAGCUUGACUGCGAGCGUGACGGCGCGAGCAGGUGCGAAAGCAGGUCAUAGUGAUCCGGUGGUUCUGAAUGGAAGGGCCAUCGCUCAACGGAUAAAAGGUACUCCGGGGAUAACAGGCUGAUACCGCCCAAGAGUUCAUAUCGACGGCGGUGUUUGGCACCUCGAUGUCGGCUCAUCACAUCCUGGGGCUGAAGUAGGUCCCAAGGGUAUGGCUGUUCGCCAUUUAAAGUGGUACGCGAGCUGGGUUUAGAACGUCGUGAGACAGUUCGGUCCCUAUCUGCCGUGGGCGCUGGAGAACUGAGGGGGGCUGCUCCUAGUACGAGAGGACCGGAGUGGACGCAUCACUGGUGUUCGGGUUGUCAUGCCAAUGGCACUGCCCGGUAGCUAAAUGCGGAAGAGAUAAGUGCUGAAAGCAUCUAAGCACGAAACUUGCCCCGAGAUGAGUUCUCCCUGACUCCUUGAGAGUCCUGAAGGAACGUUGAAGACGACGACGUUGAUAGGCCGGGUGUGUAAGCGCAGCGAUGCGUUGAGCUAACCGGUACUAAUGAACCGUGAGGCUUAACCUU